rnacentral:rRNA from 1 species
AUAAACGCUGGCGGCGCACAUAAGACAUGCAAGUCGAACGGAAGUCGUUUUAAUGAGUUUGAAAUGAAAGAUUUAUCCGGAAUUGAUGAUGAUUUAAACAAUGGCUUUAGUGGCGGACUGGUGAGUAACACGUAAGCAACCUGCCUGUUAGAGGGGAAUAACAACGAGAAAUCGUUGCUAAUACCGCAUAUGCCAUAUGAACCACAUGGUUCAAGUGGGAAAGGAGUAAUCCGCUAACAGAUGGGCUUGCGUCUGAUUAGAUAGUUGGUGGGGUAACGGCCUACCAAGUCGACGAUCAGUAGCCGGACUGAGAGGUUCAACGGCCACAUUGGGACUGAGAUACGGCCCAGACUCCUACGGGAGGCAGCAGUCGGGAAUAUUGCGCAAUGGAGGAAACUCUGACGCAGUGACGCCGCGUAUAGGAAGAAGGUUUUCGGAUCGUAAACUUCUAUCAACAGGGAAGAAACAAAUGACGGUACCUGAAUAAGAAGCCCCGGCUAACUACGUG